rnacentral:rRNA from 1 species
CGGGUGAGUAACACGUAUGCAACCUGCCUGCCACAGCCGGAUAAUCGGGAGAAAUUCCGCUAAUACGGCAUAAUGCAUCGACGGGACAUCCUGUUGGUGCCAAAGGUUGAUUCCGGUGGCGGAUGGGCAUGCGUCGCAUUAGUUAGUUGGCGGUGUAACGGACCACCAAGACGACGAUGCGUAGGGGUUCUGAGAGGAAGGUCCCCCACACUGGUACUGAGACACGGACCAGACUCCUACGGAAGGCAGCAG